UCUGGCUUAAGGCCAAGCGGUUUCACUAGAGUGCCCAACUAAAUGAUGGUAACUAGUGACACGGGUUGCGCUCGUUGCGGGACUUAACCCAACAUCUCACAACACGAGCUGACGACAGCCAUGCAGCACCUGUCACCGGGUCCCCGAAGGGAACUCCUAGUUUCCUAGGAUAGCCCGGGAUGUCAAGUCUGGGUAAGGUUCUUCGCGUAGCAUCGAAUUAAACCACAUGCUCCACCGCUUGUGCGGGCCCCCGUCAAUUCCUUUGAGUUUUAAUCUUGCGACCGUAAUCCCCAGGCGGGAUACUUAAUGCGUUAGCUUCGACACCGAAACAAUUAGGUAUUCCGACGUCUAGUAUCCAUCGUUUAGGGCGUGGACUAC
rnacentral:misc_RNA from 1 species